rnacentral:rRNA from 1 species
CACUAUCGUUAACUGAAUACAUAGGUUAACGAGGCGAACCGGGGGAACUGAAACAUCUAAGUACCCCGAGGAAAAGAAAUCAACCGAGAUUCCCCCAGUAGCGGCGAGCGAACGGGGAGCAGCCCAGAGUCUGAAUCAGCUUGUGUGUUAGUGGAACGGUCUGGAAAGUCCGACGGUACAGGGUGAUAGUCCCGUACACCAAAAUGCACAGGCUGUGAACUCGAAGAGUAGGGCGGGACACGUGGUAUCCUGUCUGAAUAUGGGGGGACCAUCCUCCAAGGCUAAAUACUCCUGACUGACCGAUAGUGAACCAGUACCGUGAGGGAAAGGCGAAAAGAACCCCGGCGAGGGGAGUGAAAAAGAACCUGAAACCGUGUACGUACAAGCAGUGGGAGCACCUUCGGGUGUGACUGCGUACCUUUUGUAUAAUGGGUCAGCGACUUAUAUUCUGUAGCAAGGUUAACCGUAUAGGGGAGCCGCAGGGAAACCGAGUCUUAACUGGGCGUUAAGUUGCAGGGUAUAGACCCGAAACCCGGUGAUCUAGCCAUGGGCAGGUUGAAGGUUGGGUAACACUAACUGGAGGACCGAACCGACUAAUGUUGAAAAAUUAGCGGAUGACUUGUGGCUGGGGGUGAAAGGCCAAUCAAACCGGGAGAUAGCUGGUUCUCCCCGAAAGCUAUUUAGGUAGCGCCUCGUGAAUUCAUCUUCGGGGGUAGAGCACUGUUUCGGCUAGGGGGUCAUCCCGACUUACCAACCCGAUGCAAACUACGAAUACCGAAGAAUGUUAUCACGGGAGACACACGGCGGGUGCUAACGUCCGUCGUGAAGAGGGAAACAACCCAGACCGCCAGCUAAGGUCCCAAAGUCAUGGUUAAGUGGGAAACGAUGUGGGAAGGCACAGACAGCCAGGAUGUUGGCUUAGAAGCAGCCAUCAUUUAAAGAAAGCGUAAUAGCUCACUGGUCGAGUCGGCCUGCGCGGAAGAUGUAACGGGGCUAAACCAUGCACCGAAGCUGCGGCAGCGACACUAUGUGUUGUUGGGUAGGGGAGCGUUCUGUAAGCCUGCGAAGGUGUGCUGUGAGGCAUGCUGGAGGUAUCAGAAGUGCGAAUGCUGACAUAAGUAACGAUAAAGCGGGUGAAAAGCCCGCUCGCCGGAAGACCAAGGGUUCCUGUCCAACGUUAAUCGGGGCAGGGUGAGUCGACCCCUAAGGCGAGGCCGAAAGGCGUAGUCGAUGGGAAACAGGUUAAUAUUCCUGUACUUGGUGUUACUGCGAAGGGGGGACGGAGAAGGCUAUGUUAGCCGGGCGACGGUUGUCCCGGUUUAAGCAUGUAGGCUGGUUGUCCAGGCAAAUCCGGAUAAUCAAGGCUGAGGUGUGAUGACGAGGCACUACGGUGCUGAAGUAACAAAUGCCCUGCUUCCAGGAAAAGCCUCUAAGCAUCAGGUAACAUUAAAUCGUACCCCAAACCGACACAGGUGGUCAGGUAGAGAAUACCAAGGCGCUUGAGAGAACUCGGGUGAAGGAACUAGGCAAAAUGGUGCCGUAACUUCGGGAGAAGGCACGCUGGUGUGUAGGUGAAGUCCCUGCGGAUGGAGCUGAGACCAGUCGAAGAUACCAGCUGGCUGCAACUGUUUAUUAAAAACACAGCACUGUGCAAACACGAAAGUGGACGUAUACGGUGUGACGCCUGCCCGGUGCCGGAAGGUUAAUUGAUGGGGUUAUCCGUAAGGAGAAGCUCUUGAUCGAAGCCCCGGUAAACGGCGGCCGUAACUAUAACGGUCCUAAGGUAGCGAAAUUCCUUGUCGGGUAAGUUCCGACCUGCACGAAUGGCGUAAUGAUGGCCAGGCUGUCUCCACCCGAGACUCAGUGAAAUUGAACUCGCUGUGAAGAUGCAGUGUACCCGCGGCAAGACGGAAAGACCCCGUGAACCUUUACUAUAGCUUGACACUGAACAUUGAGCCUUGAUGUGUAGGAUAGGUGGGAGGCUUUGAAGCGUGGACGCCAGUCUGCGUGGAGCCAACCUUGAAAUACCACCCUUUAAUGUUUGAUGUUCUAACGUUGGCCCCUUACCGGGGUUGCGGACAGUGUCUGGUGGGUAGUUUGACUGGGGCGGUCUCCUCCCAAAGCGUAACGGAGGAGCACGAAGGUUAGCUAAUCCUGGUCGGACAUCAGGAGGUUAGUGCAAUGGCAUAAGCUAGCUUGACUGCGAGCGUGACGGCGCGAGCAGGUGCGAAAGCAGGUCAUAGUGAUCCGGUGGUUCUGAAUGGAAGGGCCAUCGCUCAACGGAUAAAAGGUACUCCGGGGAUAACAGGCUGAUACCGCCCAAGAGUUCAUAUCGACGGCGGUGUUUGGCACCUCGAUGUCGGCUCAUCACAUCCUGGGGCUGAAGUAGGUCCCAAGGGUAUGGCUGUUCGCCAUUUAAAGUGGUACGCGAGCUGGGUUUAGAACGUCGUGAGACAGUUCGGUCCCUAUCUGCCGUGGGCGCUGGAGAAUUGAGGGGGGCUGCUCCUAGUACGAGAGGACCGGAGUGGACGCAUCACUGGUGUUCGGGUUGUCAUGCCAAUGGCACUGCCCGGUAGCUAAAUGCGGAAGAGAUAAGUGCUGAAAGCAUCUAAGCACGAAACUUGCCCCGAGAUGAGUUCUCCCUGAGACUUUAAGUCUCCUGAAGGAACGUUAAAGACGAUGACGUUGAUAGGCCGGGUGUGUAAGCGCAGCGAUGCGUUGAGCUAACCGGUACUAAUGAACCGUGAGGCUUAACCUU